AGGGAUGUGAUCAUAGUUCACUGAAGCCUCAAAACUCCUGGCCUCGAGCAAUCCUCCUGCCUCAGCCUCCUGAAGCAAUCCUCCUGCCUCAGCCUCCUUGAGCAAUCCUCCUGCCUCAGCCUCCUGAGCAGCUAUGACCACAGGUGCACACCAGUAUGCCCAGCUAAUAUUUUGUUAUUUAGAGAUGGGAUCUCACUAUGUUGUGCAGACUAGUCUCGAACUCCUCUACCUUGGCCUUCAAAAGUACUGAGAUUAUAGUUGUG
rnacentral:lncRNA from 10 species